rnacentral:rRNA from 1 species
UGCGUAGGUGGUUUCUUAAGUCAGAGGUGAAAGGCUACGGCUCAACCGUAGUAAGCCUUUGAAACUGGGAAACUUGAGUGCAGGAGAGGAGGGUGGAAUUCCUAGUGUAGCGGUGAAAUGCGUAGAUAUUAGGAGGAACACCAGUUGCGAAGGCGGCUCUCUGGACUGUAACUGACACUGAGGCACGAAAGCGUGGGGAGCAAACA